AUUGAACGCUGGCGGAAUGCCUAACACAUGCAAGUCGAGCGAGGUGUAGCAAUACACCUAGCGGCGGACGGGUGAGCAAUACAUAGGAAUCUGCCUUUCAGUGGGGGAUAGCCCGGGGAAACCCGGAUUAAUACCGCAUGAUGUCGCAAGACCAAAGCGGGGGACCGCAAGGCCUCGCGCUGAAAGAUGAGCCUAUGUCUGAUUAGCUAGUUGGCGGGGUAAUGGCCCACCAAGGCGACGAUCAGUAGCUGGUUUGAGAGAACGAUCAGCCACACCG
rnacentral:rRNA from 1 species